AGAGUUUGAUCAUGGCUCAGGACGAACGCUGGCGGCGUGCCUAAAACAUGCAAGUCGAACGACCCUUUCGGGGGUAGUGGCGAACGGCGUAGUAAUACAUGAGAAACGUGCCCUUAAGACUGGGAUAUACCGGGGAAACCCGGAGCAAUACCAGAUGUGACGGAGUUGUGGCAUCACAAUUCCAUUAAAUGGUUUUUCGCUUAAGGAGCGUCUCAUGGCCUAUCAGGUAGUUGGUGAGGUAAUGGCUCACCAAGCCGACGACGGGUAGCGGGUCUGAGAGGAUGAUCCGCACGAGUGGGACUGCGACACGGCCCACACACCUACGGGUGGCAGCAGUUGGGAAUCUUGCACAAUGGGGGAAACCCUGAUGCAGCGACGCCGCGUGGACGAUGAAGGCCUUAGGGUUGUAAAGUCCUUUUUUGGGGAAAGACUUAGGACGGUACCCCAAGAAUAAGCUCCGGCUAACUACGUGCCAGCAGCCGCGGUAAGACGUAGGGAGCAAGCGUUGUCCGGAUUUACUGGGCGUAAAGAGCUCGUAGGCGGCUCGUUAAGUGUGAAGUGAAAUCUCCAGUGCUCAACACGGAAACUGCUUUACAUACUGGCGAGCUUGAGGAAAGCAGAGGUAACUGGAAUUCCUGGUGUAGCGGUGAAAUGCGUUGAUAUCAGGAGGAACACCCAUGGCGAAGGCAGGUUACUGGGCUUUAUCUGACGCUGAGGAGCGAAAGCGUGGGUAGCAAACAGGAUUAGAUACCCUGGUAGUCCACGCCCUAAACUAUGGAUACUAGUCGUGAGAGGUAUCGACCCCUCUCGUGACCGUAGCUAACGCGUUAAGUAUCCCGCCUGGGGACUACGGCCGCAAGGUUGAAACUCAAAUGAAUUGACGGGGACCCGCACAAGCGGUGGAGCAUGUGGUUUAAUUCGAUACUAACCGAAGAACCUUACCCAGGUUUGACAUCGAUCGCAAAGCGUUGAAAGGCGCUCCUCUCCCACAAGGAGACGUGAAGACAGAUGUUGCAUGGCUGUCGUCAGCUCGUGCCGUGAGGUGUACGGUUAAGUCCGCCAACGAGCGCAACCCACGUUCUGUGUUACCAGCGAGUAAAGUCGGGGACUCACAGGAGACCGCCGGUGUAAGCCGGAGGAAGGUGUGGAUGACGUCAAGUCAGCAUGGCUCUUACGCCUGGGGCUACACACAUGCUACAAUGGGCGCAACAAAGGGCAGCAAUACCGCGAGGUGGAGCCAAUCCCAAAAAUACGCCCCCAGUUCAGAUUGUAGUCUGCAACUCGACUACAUAAAGUCGGAAUCGCUAGUAAACGCAGGUCAGCUAUACUGCGUUGAAUACGUUCCCGGGUCUUGUACACACCGCCCGUCAAGUCACCUGAAUUGUCUUCACCCGAAGUCCGUGGCCUAACCGAAAGGAGGGAGCGGCCGAAGGUGAGGGGGGUAAGGGGGACUAAGUCGUAACAAGGUACCCGUACCGGAAGGUGUGGGUG
rnacentral:rRNA from 1 species